rnacentral:rRNA from 1 species
GACGAACGCUGGCGGCGUGCUUAACACAUGCAAGUCGAACGAAGUGGCGAACGGGUGAGUAAUACGUGAGGAACAUGCCCUCCUUUUUGGGAUAAGCCUUGGAAACGGGGUCUAAUACCGAAUAAAGGGGGAUGGGCUCGCGGCCUAUCAGCUUGUUGGUGGGGUGAGGGCCUACCAAGGCGGUGACGGUUAGCCGGCCUGGGAGGGUGACAGGGCACAUUGGGAAUGGGAUACGGCCCAGACGCCGACGGGAGGGGGAAGUGGUGGAUAUUGGACAAUGGGCGAAAGCCUGAUGCAGCGACGCCGCGUGGGGGAUGAAGGCUUUCGGGUUGUAAACCUCUUUCGCUAGCGAACCGGUAGGUGGAGAAGAAGCGCCGGCUAACUACGUGCCAGCAGCCGCGGUAAUUC